GGGAGAGAAAGACGUAGAAAAACAGACAAGGAGAGAGGGCAGGAGUGGGGGACACAGGUACUGGGAGAGAGUAGAGACACAGAGACAAGAGAGAAAAGGCAACAAAGACAAAGCCAGAGACGCCCAGCCCGAGAGACAGAGCCACACGGAGAGAAUGGAGAGGGGAGCAGGGUCAGAGGGCCCGGACGACGCAGAGAAGGACGCGAAAGGACGUGAGAGGGACUUCCCCCAGGGGCAGGGAGAGGCCUUGGGCAGCUCCUCCGCUGGGCCGGGCUGCCUGCCUGCUGGACUCCGGGAAGGAGGCAGUGACCGCACCCAUCUGGAAGCUGUCAGGUCCCUCAAGGAUGAGGGCGUUGGGAGGAAGCCAGACAUGAGCCACGUCUAGAGAGAGGAAGCGGCGGGAUUUGAAAAAGAUGGCCCUCCUUCUGGGAGAGCACCCACUGCUCAUCUGAAUUCUAGAGAACCACUCAAGUGCAUAUAGACGGCAUCCAUCCUAAGAAGGAAAGUGCUCUCUAAGAAGCCACUAUGCCUGAAAUGCCACCAUAUGUAUACACCAUUCCACUAUGGAAAACAUUGCCUUUUCGGGGCUCUUCCUGUGAAAUGCAGGUAUAUUUAGCUCUUCAUGCUAUAGUAUGAAUUAGCCUAUCACUGGGUUCCCUUGUGACAAGAAAGCCCACGGGCCAUGAGCUCUUGCUGGACAUACCAGAACAAAGACAUAGUCUCUUCAAGAUGGCAUUCACAGCCAUAGGGCAGGACGACAGGUGGGCGACAACCAUAGCCAGCAGAAGAGCAGACACUGGAACAGAGGUUCAAACCAACAACUAUGGAGCGAGCUGAGCCUUUUAUUGAAGCGUAAUACAUAUACAGAAAAAUUCACCUAUCAUAAGUAUGCAUCUUGGUAAAUUUUCACAAGGAAUAUACCCAUGGAACCAACAUCCAGAUCAAAAUCUGUCAGGCGUCUAGCACCCAGAAGCCCCUGCGGGUCCCUGCCAGUUACUAUGUGCCCCCAAGGCUGACCACUGUCCUGUCUUCUGGUACCACAGGUUUGUUUUGCCUGUUUUUUGAACUUUAUAAAUGCAAGUGUACAGUAUGAACUGUGUCGUGUUCUGUUGUUCAACAGGACGUCUGUGAGAUUUCUCAAUAUUGCAGCUAUCUCCGUAGCUUGUAGCACUCCAUUGUGUGAAUCCGCCACUGUCUGUUGAUGGGCACUGGGUGGUCUCCAGUUCUUGGCUAUUAUGCAUAGUGCUCUGAAUAUCCUUGCAUGCGUCUUUGGUACACAUGCCUGUUGGGUAUAUUCCCAGGAGUAGACUUGGUGGGUUGGAGAGCAUGCGCAUGUUCAACUUGAAUAUGUGACGCCAAAUCAUUUUCUCAAGUGUUUGUAGAUGGAGGGUUUUGAGCAAGGAGGUGGCAGGAGCAGGCCUGGGUCUCGGCCGUCCCUCUCUGCACAGGCUGAGUGUGAAGGGCAUAGGGACAUCCCAGUGGAGCUGUCCUAAGGCUAGAGAGCAGUGGGUCUGGAGCUGGGGAGCUGGGGAGCUAGGCAGCAAGGCUCUGGGCUGAAGAAGGUGGAGAGGGUGUGGAGUGAGGAAGGUAGGGACCAGGGCCAGGCCAUGGAUACAGCCAUAAUGAGGAUGCCACGGAGACAGAGGAGCCCUCAGAGGCAACUGAGGAGGUGCAGCCUAGAGAAGAGGGAAGACCCGGCAAGAGGAAAGGAAGCAAAUCACAUGGGUGCCAAGGGGAGCAUCUGAGGCAGAGGCAGGCAUAGAGCACCAGAGGCACUAAGAGGGCCAGUUAGUCAAGACUGAGCAGGAUGUGUCCACCAGACUUGAUAAGGGAGCUGUGGGGACCUUAAGGAAGUCAUGGUCAAUGGGGUUGGUGUGUGUGCCAG
rnacentral:lncRNA from 10 species